rnacentral:rRNA from 1 species
CUUACCAUGCAGUCGACGCAGUCUUCGGACUGAGUGGCGCACGGGUGCGUAACACGUAGGUGAUUUGCCUUCGAGUGGGGGAUAACCUGAAGAAAUUCGGGCUAAUACCGCAUACGCUUGGGAGUGUUUGAGUCUCUCAAGGAAAGCUUUAGUGCUCGAAGAGAAGCCUGCGGCCUAUCAGCUAGUUGGUGGGGUAACGGCCUACCAAGGCGACGACGGGUAGCUGACCUGAGAGGGUGGUCAGCCACAGGGGAACUGAGACACGGUCCCCACUCCUACGGGAGGCAGCAGUGAGGAAUAUUGGGCAAUGGAGGCAACUCUGACCCAGCAAUGCCGCGUGGAGGAUGAAGGCCUUCGGGUUGUAAACUCCUUUUGAGGGGGAGUAGCAAGGAGAGUACCCCUCGAAUAAGUCACGGCUAACUACGUGCCAGCAGCCGCGGUAAUACGUAGGUGGCAAACGUUAUCCGGAAUUACUGGGCGUAAAGGGUCCGUAGGCGGAUUACCAAGUCUGAUGUGACACUCCUCGGCUUAACUGAGGAACGCCAUUGGAAACUGGUAGACUAGAAUCUGGUCGAGGUCGGCGGAAUUCCCGGCGUAGUGGUGGAAUGCGUAGAGAUCGGGAGGAACCUCGAAAGCGAAAGGCAGCCGGCUAGGUCGAGAUUGACGCUGAGGGACGAGAGCGUGGGGAGCAAACAGGAUUAGAUACCCUGGUAGUCCACGCCGUAAACGAUGUGUGCUCGGUGUGUGCCCGUCAAGGGUACGCGCUCAGCUAACGCGAUAAGCACACCGGCCUGGGGAGUACGGUCGCAGACUAAAACUCAAAGG